rnacentral:lncRNA from 1 species
UUUUACAUUAUAUAUUAUAGACAAAAUUUGUACAUUAUACAUAAAUAUCAAGUGUUCAAUAAUUCCCCUAUUCCAGGUGAAGGCAAACAAACUCUGACCAUUCAUUCCGGACUUCAUCAAUUGCUUCUUGGGGGUAUGGCGCUUCCUGUUUUCCCUUGGCAUACUGCAUAAACAAUGACUAUUAGGGUUUAUAAAUAAAAAAAAAUUCAAUCACAGACGACGAUAUUUUUCAUAACCGACGUACUAUAUCUAUUCAACGACGGUAAUUUUACAUGACCGUCGUUGAUAAUACAAAAAACGACGUAAAAUGUAUGAAGGUAAUUUCUUCU